rnacentral:piRNA from 2 species
UGCUCAUUUUUCUGUGACUUGGAGGACACC